rnacentral:rRNA from 1 species
UAGUUGUAUGCUUGUCUCAAAGAUUAAGCCAUGCAUGUCUAAGUAUGAGUCCAUUGUACGACGACACUGCGAACGGGUUAUUAAAACAGUUACAAUUUCUUUGAUGAUUCCUACUACAUGGAUACCCGUAGUAAAUCAGAGCUAAUACAUGCACAAAGACCCAACUUCGGACGGGUUGUAUUUAUUGGAUAAAACACCAACCGGCCUUCGGGCUGUAUGAGGUGAGUCACAGUAAACAACGGAUCGCAGAGGCCUUGCGCCGGCGACAUGUCAUUCAAAUUUCUGCCCUAUCAGCUUUCAACCGUACGGUAGUGGCCUACGGUGGCGGUAACGGGUCACGGAGGAUUUGGGUUCGAUUCCGAACAGGGAGCCUGAGAAACGGCUACCACAUCCAAGGAAGGCAGCAGGCGCGCAAAUUAUCCAAUGCUAAUACCAUAGAGUGAGAUAGUGACAAGAUGUAAGCACCGCCUCCAUAUUUGGCGGCGGAUGCGAAUGAGGUGCAGUCAAAACUAGCGCCGAAUCAUUGGAGGGCAAGUCUGGUGCCAGCAGCCGCGGUAAUUCCAGCUCCAAUAGCGUACACUAACAUUGUUGCAGUUAAAAAGCUCGUAGUUGGAUUUCUGAGAGCGCGGGACGGUCUACCCCAUUGUGGGUGGUACCCGACAUGCACUCUCAUCCGGCAGAACACCUACUCUGCAAUUCAUUUUGUGGAGCAGGCAUGUCUGCCCUUUUACUUCGAGAAAAACAGAGUGUUCAAAGCAAGCGUAUCGCGUUUGUAUGAGUUAGCAUGGGAUAAUGUAAGAGGACUCUGGCCCUCUUUUGUUGGUUGUUCGAGAGCCGAAGUAAUGAUUGAUAGAGAUGGUUGGGGGUCUCGGUAUUCUCGAGCGAGAGGUGAAAUUCUUGGACCUCGGGAAGACCAACUGCUGCGAAGGCGUUGACCAAGGACAUACUCUUUAAUCAAGAACGAAAGUAGGGGGAUCGAAGAUGAUCAGAUACCGUCGUAGUCUCUACCAUAAACCAUGCCAGCUGAGGAUUGGUGGAAGUUUGUCAUUUUCGACUCCAUCAGCACUCUGAGGGAAACCAAAGCAUCUGGGUUCCGGGGGAAGUAUGGUCGCAAGGCUGAAACUUAAAGGAAUUGACGGGAGGGCACCACCAGGAGUGGAGCUUAUGGUUUAAUUUGAUUCAACACGGGAUGUCUUACCAGGUCCGGACUCAUUAAGGAUUGACAGACUGAUAGCUCUUUCUUGAUUAUGAGGGUGGUGGUGCAUGGCCGUUCUUAGUUGGUGGAGUGAUUUGUCUGGUUAAUUCCGAUAACGAACGAGACCGUCAUCUACUAAAUAGUCCCCGUUGUCUUCUAGACAGCGUGUACUUCUUAGAGAGACCAUCCUGCGUUUUUCAGCGGAAGGAAGUUGGCGGCAA